rnacentral:rRNA from 1 species
AUUGAACGCUGGCGGCAUGCCUUACACAUGCAAGUCGAACGGCAGCACGGGAGCAAUCCUGGUGGCGAGUGGCGAACGGGUGAGUAAUAUAUCGGAACGUGCCCAGUCGUGGGGGAUAACGUUGCGAAAGCUACGCUAAUACCGCAUACGAUCUAUGGAUGAAAGCGGGGGAUCGCAAGACCUUGCGCGAUUGGAGCGGCCGAUAUCAGAUUAGGUAGUUGGUGGGGUAAAGGCUCACCGAGCCGACGAUCUGUAGCUGGUCUGAGAGGACGACCAGCCACACUGGGACUGAGACACGGCCCAGACUCCUACGGGAGGCAGCAGUGGGGAAUUUUGGACAAUGGGCGCAAGCCUGAUCCAGCAAUGCCGCGUGCAGGAUGAAGGCCUUCGGGUUGUAAACUGCUUUUGUACGGAGCGAAAAGGCUUCCACUAAUACUGGGGGCUCAUGACGGUACCGUAAGAAUAAGCACCGGCUAACUACGUGCCAGCAGCCGCCGUAAGAC